rnacentral:rRNA from 1 species
AUUGAACGCUGGCGGCAGGCCUAACACAUGCAAGUCGAGCGGAUGAAGGGAGCUUGCUCCUGGAUUCAGCGGCGGACGGGUGAGUAAUGCCUAGGAAUCUGCCUGGUAGUGGGGGAUAACGUCCGGAAACGGGCGCUAAUACCGCAUACGUCCUGAGGGAGAAAGUGGGGGAUCUUCGGACCUCACGCUAUCAGAUGAGCCUAGGUCGGAUUAGCUAGUUGGUGGGGUAAAGGCCUACCAAGGCGACGAUCCGUAACUGGUCUGAGAGGAUGAUCAGUCACACUGGAACUGAGCCACGGUCCAGACUCCUACGGGAGGCAGCAGUGGGGAAUAUUGGACAAUGGGCGAAAGCCUGAUCCAGCCAUGCCGCGUGUGUGAAGAAGGUCUUCGGAUUGUAAAGCACUUUAAGUUGGGAGGAAGGGCAGUAAGUUAAUACCCUGCUGUUUUGACGUUACCAACAGAAUAAGCACCGGCUAACUUCGUG